rnacentral:rRNA from 1 species
GACGAACCGUGCGAACGUUGUUCGGAUUCACUGGGCUUAAAGGGCGCGUAGGCGGGCAUUCAAGUCAGGGGUGAAAGCCCCCGGCCUAAACCCGGGGGAAGUGCCUCUGAGACUGAGUGUCUCGAGGGGGGGUAGGGGCAGUUGGAACUCUCGGUGGAGCGGUGAAAUGCGUAGAUAUCGGGAGGAACGCCGGUGGCGAAAGCGGGCUGCUGGACCCCUUCUGACGCUGAGGCGGCGAAAGCCAGGGGAGCGAACGGGG